GUGUCAGCAGCCGCGGUAAUACGGAGGGUGCAAGCGUUAUCCGGAUUCACUGGGUUUAAAGGGUGCGUAGGCGGGUAUGUAAGUCAGUGGUGAAAUCCCCGAGCUUAACUCGGGAACUGCCAUUGAUACUAUAUAUCUUGAAUAUUCUGGAGGUAUGCGGAAUAUGUCAUGUAGCGGUGAAAUGCUUAGAGAUGACAUAGAACACCUAUUGCGAAGGCAGCAUACUACGGAAAGAUUGACGCUGAGGCACGAAAGUGUGGGGAUCAAACAGGAUUAGAAACCCGUGUAGUCC
rnacentral:rRNA from 1 species